rnacentral:tRNA from 1 species
AAAAUAAAGCGAUAUAAAAUUGCAUUCAGUUUCGGCCUGAAUUUAGAAGUAUUUCUAUUU